AAGUAAAACCACUGGGCAUUGCUAAGCCUGGCAGAGCUGUUUAAAAAAAAAAAUAUAUAUAUAAUGUAGAACUACUGGAAAUGCUGGAGUGGCCAAGUAGUUUACACACAUCAUGGCGAUUUUUUUUUUUAAAGCAGUGCUAAAUCAUCUGCCAAGUGUGACUAAGCCAGCACACAGCAUUUCAGUAGAACUGCUUGAGGCUACUACACAGGAAGAGCUGGGAGGAAUCUGGUCCAUUGUGCAGGAGCAGUAUCCUUCUCCCAUGACUCUGCAACUUUCUAGCAUCAUUCUUAAGAGGAAGGCAACCACAAUGAGAUGAGUUCUCCAGCUAGGGGUCCAGUACUACCAAUAAACAGGCCAAAGACAGCUACCUUUCUUGUCCU
rnacentral:lncRNA from 1 species